CAGCCGCCGCGGUAAUACGGAGGGGGCUAGCGUUGUUCGGAAUUACUGGGCGUAAAGCGCACGUAGGCGGCUUUGUAAGUUAGAGGUGAAAGCCCGGAGCUCAACUCCGGAAUUGCCUUUAAGACUGCAGAGCUAGCAGGUGAGAGAGGUGAGUGGAAUUCCGAGUGUAGAGGUGAAAUUCGUAGAUAUUCGGAAGAACACCAGUGGCGAAGGCGGCUCACUGGCUCAUACUGGACGCUGAGGUGCGAAAGCGUGGGGAGCAAACAGGAUUAGAUACCCGCGUAGUCCCUGUCUCUUAUAC
rnacentral:rRNA from 1 species